GCCACAAAUAAUGGAAGAGAAAGAAACUUGAUUCUGAAAUCUGAUGUUACAUUGCAACACGAUGAUGUGA
ensembl:snoRNA SNORD82 Small nucleolar RNA SNORD82